rnacentral:rRNA from 1 species
UGGUUAAGUUAGAAAGGGCGCACGGUGGAUGCCUUGGCACUAGGAGCCGAAGAAGGACGGGACUAACACCGAUAUGCUUUGGGGAGCUGUACGUAAGCGUUGAUCCAGAGAUUUCCGAAUGGGGGAACCCACUAUCUUUAGUCGGAUAGUAUCCUUACGUGAAUACAUAGCGUGAGGAAGGCAGACCCAGGGAACUGAAACAUCUAAGUACCUGGAGGAAGAGAAAGAAAAAUCGAUUUCCUGAGUAGCGGCGAGCGAAACGGAAAGAGCCCAAACCAAGAAGCUUGCUUCUUGGGGUUGUAGGACACUCUAUACGGAGUUAC